GGCUCAAGUACUGUAUCCUGUUACAGCUGAGAGCGAGACUGACUGCAGUCCAAUGUGGCUCACACGCAUGGAAAGCCGAUCCGGGUGGGAUGCAAGCAAACCUGUGAUAACUCUGUACAUAAGGUGACUGUCCAGCAAGGAGACGAAGAAUGCACUAAUAUUUCAUCUGACACAGCAAGAAAGAUGCAACCCUUCCUGGGAUAUAUAUGUCCUGUUGGCCGGUGUAGCGGGG